GUAAUAGCGGCGUAACACGUUAUUACAGCGCGUGCAAAACAGCGUCAUUGCAAAUUUCACGGUCAAGUUUUUUAUUCGUCGUUAGCACUUUCAAAUGCAGCAAGAUUGUUUUGUUAAAUCAAAUAAUAAACAAGGAAACAACAGUUUAUCUCAUGUGAUACGACAAUUUUUAGACUGGGUUGUUUGUAAUUAUUUCCCUUUGCGUGUUCGGAUACCGAAAUAUGUAGUUAAAAAAGUGAGUGGUUUUUUUUUUAAUUUUAGCGGGAAAUGAUUUUUUGUUCACAAAUAAUAAAAUGUCUAAUUUGGUUUCUUAAAAAUCAGAACAUAUUUAAGUGUGUAUAUGAGUAUUUGUAAAGACGUGUAUCAAUAAUUAGCGUGAAACGCGUAAAAGGGAAAAGUGAAAAUCAUUUAGUGAUCAGUUAGGACUGUGAUACCUUUUACUUAUCAUGCCGCACGUAAGGCUCCAGCGAAGCACAAAUGGCACAAUGCGGGGAUACAGCAAUUCAAUAAAUAGCUUGGUAUUGUGUGCUUGAAAGCGCGGGACGCAAGCCGCUCUAGCUGCAUAUUUCCUUUAAUAGUAAACUAAAAGCCAGGAAUUGGAGCUCGUCGAAGAAAACGGAAGAGAAAAUUGUACUCGACUGCUUAUUUUGUCUAAGCCUAUUUAUCUUAUUAUAUUAGUCAAUUGUGCCUAUUUAUAAUCAUACAUAGUUUCUAUGUAUUUUAGUUUCUAUUAAUAACGUCAUAUUUCGAAACAAAUGGUCCGAAAUAAUGUUCACUACAAAAAGCGACAGGUUUCACUCGGAAAGUUAAGUUCAUAACCUGUUAUUAAUAUUUUCGAUUAAAUUCUAAUUUAUAAGAUAUUCGUGUUCUAAUGAUAGUCGUUUUGUUCAGAACACAAAAAUGUAUUUUGUAUUUUGAAAACAAAUAUUAGCACUUA